rnacentral:rRNA from 1 species
ACUCCUACGGGAGGCAGCAGUGGGGAAUAUUGGACAAUGGGCGCAAGCCUGAUCCAGCCAUGCCGCGUGAGUGAUGAAGGCCCUAGGGUUGUAAAGCUCUUUUGUGCGGGAAGAUAAUGACGGUACCGCAAGAAUAAGCCCCGGCUAACUUCGUGCCAGCAGCCGCGGUAAUACGAAGGGGGCUAGCGUUGCUCGGAAUCACUGGGCGUAAAGGGUGCGUAGGCGGGUCUUUAAGUCAGGGGUGAAAUCCUGGAGCUCAACUCCAGAACUGCCUUUGAUACUGAAGAUCUUGAGUUCGGGAGAGGUGAGUGGAACUGCGAGUGUAGAGGUGAAAUUCGUAGAUAUUCGCAAGAACACCAGUGGCGAAGGCGGCUCACUGGCCCGAUACUGACGCUGAGGCACGAAAGCGUGGGGAGCAAACAGGAUUAGAUACCCCAGUAGUCCCA